GGGAUAGUUCAGCUGGUAGAGCAUGAGACUCUUAAUCUCAGGGUUGUAGCUUUGAGCCCCAUGUUGGACCA